rnacentral:rRNA from 1 species
GAUGAACGCUGGCGGCGUGCCUAAUACAUGCAAGUCGAGCGAACAGAUGAGGAGCUUGCUCCUCUGACGUUAGCGGCGGACGGGUGAGUAACACGUGGAUAACCUACCUAUAAGACUGGGAUAACUUCGGGAAACCGGAGCUAAUACCGGAUAAUAUAUUGAACCGCAUGGUUCAAUAGUGAAAGACGGUUUUGCUGUCACUUAUAGAUGGAUCCGCGCCGCAUUAGCUAGUUGGUAAGGUAACGGCCUACCAAGGCAACGAUGCGUAGCCGACCUGAGAGGGUGAUCGGCCACACUGGAACUGAGACACGGUCCAGACUCCUACGGGAGGCAGCAGUAGGGAAUCUUCCGCAAUGGGCGAAAGCCUGACGGAGCAACGCCGCGUGAGUGAUGAAGGUCUUCGGAUCGUAAAACUCUGUUAUUAGGGAAGAACAAAUGUGUAAGUAACUAUGCACGUCUUGACGGUACCUAUUCAGAAAGCCACGGCUAACUACGUG